GAAAUUGAACAGUAAACAACAACAAAUUAACAACUCACUGAAAUAGAAUGGAUUAGGAAAACAUUUUAACUAAGAAUAUCUUUAUUAUAUCUUUAACAUAAAAUGCAUAUUAAAAUAUAAAAAUAUAAGAUAAAGAUACAAAAUAUCUUUAAAAUAUCUUACAUUUAAGUGGAAUCACUUUCUUUUAUGUUAUGUUUGCUAUUUCUAAAGGAAAAUCUGUUACCUUUUGUGACAAAAUAGAUUAAAUCAUCAUUAUUUAUAAUCUGAAUUUCCAGAAUGUGGUCAAGAGUUGCAACUAGUUUCUUAACCUGCUUGAUAGAAAAUGUAACAGUUAAUGAAGCAUAGAACAUUGUGUAAAAUUGUGUUCCUAGUCUAACACAGCAGUUAAUGUUUUACUGACUUAAAUGUUUUCCUUUUCAUGCUUACUGAGUCCCUUAAAUCCCAUGAUUCAAAGAAAUUAAUUAACUGAAAGAGUUACUAUUUGCAAGCAUGUCACUUCUGGGAAUUAAUGUGUCUACAAUAAAAUCUAUGUCACUUUUUACACCAAUUAAUAUUACUGGACAAGGUUGAGUCAUACAAUUUCCAUUAAUUUUUAAAUGUCUCAAUAACGUAUUAUAAAGAACCAGGAACUUCAAAUCUUCUCAAAGGUCACAUGGUGAAAUUCCCAUAAUGGGUUACAGGCUGAGUUUGUCUCACAACAAAGGGCCGUUUUCAAUUUCUUCUCCCUCUGUUAGAACUCAGUUGGGCCUGUAAUUUACAAUGACAUGUUUCUCUUUCCAUUUUCAUAUCCUUUUGAAUUUCUUCAAUCUUAUGCUCCCAUUGCCUCUCUCAGAUGCCCAGCUCGCCCAGGAGAUCUAGAGCUGUCCCCAACUCCUUUCUGCCUCUGUUCCCCUUCACUGCAACUGCAGCUGCAAUGUGGGACCACCCAGGAGACUCUUCUGUUCAGGGUAAAUAUGAAGUCUUCAGCUGGGAAACACAAUGGACAGCUGCCCUGUGCGUGCUGAGGAGGUGGGAGCUGGGGGCAGAGUGGUUGAAUGACUUGGCAGCUUUGUAAGUAUUCUGGAGCUUAAAUUAUGUCAAGGCCACCCCAAAGCAUCUCCUACACUCUGUAACCACUUCAGAUUUAAAGCCAUUGACUUUUCUUUUUCAUCACCAACAGUGGCAGUCUCCUGUAAACAACAGUGUAAGGUUACAAUCUCCUGUAACCUUGACUCAUAUGUAUAUUAAAAUGUGCUUUCUUUGAUCUAAGUUUUGCUUCUAUAUAACCAUGUAUCCUAAUAAUCUUAAAAUUUUUUAACACUUUUUGUCUACUGUUGGCAGCC
rnacentral:lncRNA from 1 species